rnacentral:sRNA from 1 species
AUCUGCUGAGGCGAAAUAUAAUGUAUAUGGGUAUCGAGUCCUCCCGCAGUAAGGAUAAGCCCCUCGCCUGCAAGCGCUUCCGUCGACGCACCCACCGUCAUUCCGGGCGUUACUCCAUCCAUGAUAGACGGAUUUCCCGCCUUGCCGAUACCCGCGAUCUUUCCGUCCUUGAUCCCUAUGUCGGCUUUAUAAAUUCCCGUAUAGUCCACGAUCAGGCAGUUAGUUAUAACAAGGUCAAGAUCUCCGCUCUCGCUCGUCGUCGUUACCGACUGACCCAUGCCGUCGCGC